GCUCCUGGGUGACGAGCGGCGGAGGGUGAGUAAUGUCUGGGAAACUGCCUGAUGGAGGGGGAUAACUACUGGAAACGGUAGCUAAUACCGCAAACGUCGCAGACCAAAGAGGGGGACCUUCGGGCCUCUUGCCAUCAGAUGUGCCCAGAUGGGAUUAGCUAGUAGUGGGGUAAUGGCUCACCUAGGCGACGAUCCCUAGCUGGUCUGAGAGGAUGACCAGCCACACUGGAACUGAGACACGGUCCAGACUCCUACGGGAGGCAGCAGUGGGGAAUAUUGCACAAUGGGCGCAAGCCUGAUGCAGCCAUGCCGCGUGUAUGAAGAAGGCCUUCGGGUUGUAAAGUACUUUCAGCGAGGAGGAAGGCGUUAAGGUUAAUAACCUUGUUGAUUGACGUUACUCGCAGAAGAAGCACCGGCUAACUCCGUGCCAGCAGCCGCGGUAAUACGGAGGGUGCAAGCGUUAAUCGGAAUUACUGGGCGUAAAGCGCACGCAGGCGGUCUGUCAAGUCGGAUGUGAAAUCCCCGGGCUCAACCUGGGAACUGCAUUCGAAACUGGCAGGCUAGA
rnacentral:rRNA from 1 species